UACGAAGGGGGCUAGCGUUGCUCGGAAUGACUGGGCGUAAAGGGCGCGUAGGCGGCUUGCACCGUCAGAUGUGAAAUUCCUGGGCUUAACCUGGGGGCUGCAUUUGAUACGUGUGGGCUUGAGUGCGGAAGAGGGUCGUGGAAUUCCCGGUGUAGAGGUGAAAUUCGUAGAUAUCGGGAGGAACACCGGUGGCGAAGGCGGCGACCUGGGUCGAUACUGACGCUGAGGCACGAAAGCGUGGGGAGCAAACAGG
rnacentral:rRNA from 1 species